AUUGGAUUAUUUAAUUGAGGGACAAGGGCUUAGAUAAUCCACAUCAAGGAUUUUGAGAAGGUUUAUGUUUGGGAGACUAUUUUACAUGUUUAGCCUCUAAUUCUGUUUUAGGCUAAUUUUUAACUCAAGUAUUUAUUGAAUUGUUAUUACAAGGUACUGAGACUAAGUUGGAAGAAAAUCUAGCCCCUGCCACCAGCUUAGAGUUGAGUUGGAAUAGUUAUCUAUGAGAGAUUAUGGGAUAAUAAACAGUGUGAAAGUUCACAAGAGGAGAGCCUUGUCAACUGGAUAUUGGCCCUGGAGGCCUUAGAAAGUCAUAUGUUUGGCCUUGAAAGAAUUUAGAGUAAGAAAAGAAUCAGGUUUUAGGUCAGAAGGGAUAGACUCUUACACAGGCUC
rnacentral:lncRNA from 1 species